GGAGGAAUAUUGGACAAUGGAGGAAACUCUGAUCCAGCCAUGCCGCGUGAGUGAUGAAGGCCUUCGGGUUGUAAAGCUCUUUCAGGUGUGAAAAUGAUGAUGGUAACACCAGAAGAAGCCCCGGCUAACUCCGUGCCAGCAGCCGCGGUAAUACGGAGGGGGCGAGCGUUGUUCGGAAUCACUGGGCGUAAAGCGUGCGUAGGCGGUUAUACAAGUCAGGAGUGAAAUCCCAGGGCUCAACCUUGGAAUUGCUUUUGAGACUGUAUGACUAGAGAUCUAGAGAGGUUGGGGGAAUUCCGAGUGUAGAGGUGAAAUUCGCAGAUAUUCGGAGGAACACCAGUGGCGUAGGCGCCCAACUGGCUAGAUACUGACGCUGAGGCACGAAAGCGUGGGGAGCAAACA
rnacentral:rRNA from 1 species